GACGAACGCUGGCGGCGUGCUUAACACAUGCCAGUCGAACGGAAAGGCCCUGCUUUUGUGGGGUGCUCGAGUGGCGAACGGGUGAGUAACACGUGAGUAACCUGCCCUUGACUUUGGGAUAACUUCAGGAAACUGGGGCUAAUACCGGAUAGGAGCUCCUGCUGCAUGGUGGGGGUUGGAAAGUUUCGGCGGUUGGGGAUGGACUCGCGGCUUAUCAGCUUGUUGGUGGGGUAGUGGCUUACCAAGGCUUUGACGGGUAGCCGGCCUGAGAGGGUGACCGGCCACAUUGGGACUGAGAUAAGGCCCAGAAUCCUACGGGAGGCAGCAGUGGGGAAUAUUGCACAAUGGGCGGAAGCCUGAUGCAGCAACGCCGCGUGCGGGAUGACGGCCUUCGGGUUGUAAACCGCUUUCGCCUGUGACGAAGCGUGAGUGACGGUAAUGGGUAAAGAAGCACCGGCUAACUACGUG
rnacentral:rRNA from 1 species